CUAUCAUGUCUCCAAGUACUUUGAUUAUUUCUACUUUUUUUUGUAUUUUCAGUUAUAUUUUUAUUUUAAGUUUUUGUUUUUUUAUUCGUUCUUUCCUGUCAGCUUCGUUGCACUCCAUUUACUUCAUUUUAUUUGCGCAUACUCUUAUUUGCUUUAUUUUUAUUUGCCAUCUGGUUUUCGCCUACAUACCCAUUUCCGUAAGGGUAAAAAAUAAAAAUGAAAUUCCAGUCAAGAAAAAUAUGCACAAAAAAUCAGGAACGCGCACUGGUUUCUGUUGCUUGCCUUUAUAAUGCGUAUUGUUAUUUGUUUUUGUAUCAUAGUUGGGAGCACAGGACUGAAGUGUGCCCCUCAUAUGGGCAUAUAUGUAGUGGGUAUGCAUGUCUUUGCUGUUGCAACAUUUUGUCAUAUUGACUUGUUUACUUUAUAUUUUUUGAUCGAAUUCAUUUAAGUCUCUAUUUUUUCGCUUUCCUUAUAUUUUAUAAAAAUGUAUAGCCUUGUGUUAGUUUAUAUUUUGUUGUGUUUAUGUGUGCGUGUGCCUUCCUUGCCGCAUGAUUUGCAUACAUAUCCUUUCACCACUGAUUUUGUCUAUGCGAUUUACUCUCGACCUGCUUGCCGGUGGUGUGUGUAGUCGCAUUUGUUUGCAUUUCACUGCAUUUGAUGUGACUCGCUUUGUUUCCAUUAAUGGUAUUUGUCGAAGCAAUGGAUUACGUGCCCGCCAGCUUUUGUUUGCCGAUACCUUUGCCACCACACAACCUUUUUCCGCCCCACCCUUGGUAUAUACCGAGUAGAUUUGUUUGGUAGCAGUUGUUAUAUUUACUCUAUAUUGAGUAUAUAGCAUAUAUAAGAUAUGUAUAUAUUUACUUUAAGUAUAAGCGCAUCUCUUCCAUUCGCCCUUGUUCUCCUACGCUCUUGAUAUUUGCAUUUCUUUAAUGCUAUUUUGACUUAUAUGCUCUGUAAAUACCAACAAACAAACAAUAGCAUAAAUCUUUCGACAAUUUUCAAUCAAUUUAGCUUCAAGUGUUUACACAAGUUUCGAAUUUUCUUUGGUCAACAGCAGUAGUUUCCUAGUAAUGCUCGAGAGAGAUUAAGUAUUGCUGCUCUCGCACUCUGAACUCACUAAGUAAUAAGAAGCAAUAAUAGUAGUACUCAUUAUUUUGCAUUAAAUGUCUUCAAACGUUGGAUUUAUAUUGAUUUUUAUAGAAACAAAAUAUAAUAGUAGUAAUCAUUAUAUGUAAUCAUUAUUGAGAUGUCGCAAAGUCGGUAAAAAGAAUAUUAAGUAUAUUUGUAUAUAAACAAAAUAAAAUAGUGGUAAUCAUUACUUUGGAUUACAUGUAAUCUCUAAAUUAUCGGAAAUUAAGUAGAAAUUAGUAGCUGUGACCCUAAUUGAUGGAUUAUGUUGAUAUAUAGUAUGUGUAUUGACUUUUAUAAAAACAAAAUAGAGUAGUAAUCAUUACUUUGCAUUACAUGUAAUCAUUCUUGCAGUUUCGCAAAUUAAGUAAAACGAAGCUAUAGGUGUGACUCUAAUAGCUGAAUUUAUAAUGAUUUGUAUAGAAACAAAACAUAAUAGUAGUAAUCAUUACUUUGCACCACAUGUAAUCUUUCCUAAUACGUCGCAUAUUAAGUAAAAAUAAAAUAUAACAGUGGCUCUAAUCUUUGAAUUUGUAUUCGUUUUUACUAAAAAAACAGUAAAGGAGUAGUCAUUACUUUGCAUUACAUGUAAUCAUUCUUAAUGCGUGGCAUAUUAAGUAAAAAUAAAGUACAAUAGUGGCUUUAAUCUCAGUAUUUGUAUUGGAUUUUAAAAUAAAAGACAGUAAGGUAGUAAUCAUUACAUUGCAUUACAUGUAAUCAUGCCUAAAAUGUUCAUAUUCAGUAAAAAAAAGUUAACAGUGGCUUUAUACUUUGGAUUUAUAUUGAUUUUUAUAAUUAAAAACAGUAAAACAGUAAUCAUUACUUUGCAUUACAUGUAAUCAUGCCUAAAGUGUCGCA